rnacentral:piRNA from 1 species
UGGCUACACCUAAGAGGAAUUUCUUCUUUAA